UACGUAGGUGGCAAGCGUUGUCCGGAAUUACUGGGUGUAAAGGGCGUGUAGGCGGGAUCUUAAGUCAGAUGUGAAAUUCCAGGGCUCAACCCUGGCGCUGCAUCUGAAACUGGGAUUCUUGAGUGCUGGAGAGGAAAGCGGAAUUCCUAGUGUAGCGGUGAAAUGCGUAGAUAUUAGGAGGAACACCAGUGGCGAAGGCGGCUUUCUGGACAGUAACUGACGCUGAGGCGCGAAAGCGUGGGGAGCAAACAGG
rnacentral:rRNA from 1 species